UAGUUAAUGAACUUGAAAAAGUAUAUGUUUUGAAAACAUAACAUAGAAGUAAAAUCUUCUAUUAACU
rnacentral:tRNA from 1 species